AUUGAACGCUGGCGGCAGGCUUAACACAUGCAAGUCGAGCGGAGCGAGGGUGCUUGCACCUUAGCUUAGCGGCGGACGGGUGAGUAAUGCUUAGGAAUCUGCCUAUUAGUGGGGGACAACAUUCCGAAAGGAAUGCUAAUACCGCAUACGCCCUACGGGGGAAAGCAGGGGAUCUUCGGACCUUGCGCUAAUAGAUGAGCCUAAGUCGGAUUAGCUAGUUGGUGGGGUAAAGGCCUACCAAGGCGACGAUCUGUAGCGGGUCUGAGAGGAUGAUCCGCCACACUGGGACUGAGACACGGCCCAGACUCCUACGGGAGGCAGCAGUGGGGAAUAUUGGACAAUGGGCGGAAGCCUGAUCCAGCCAUGCCGCGUGUGUGAAGAAGGCCUCUUGGUUGUAAAGCACUUUAAGCGAGGAGGAGGCUACUUAGAUUAAUACUCUGGGAUAGUGGACGUUGCUCGCAGAAUAAGCACCGGCUAACUCUGUGCCAGCCGCCGCAGUAA
rnacentral:rRNA from 1 species